rnacentral:lncRNA from 1 species
GUUUUUCUCUAGUACCUAUCGAACCAACCCUCUGCAUAUAUUUAUCAGAAAAUACUCUUGGUUUCUUUUGAACUGGUUGUUGAGGUGAAAAUUCUUGCAAACCCAUCAACCUUGCAACAACACUUGGAGAAGGCUUCCUGGAUUCCAUAUGAACCAAUUUGAUUCUAAACUAUAUAACCUCUCCUUAGAAUACUAGAAUCCACCUGAUCAGAUCAAAGAGAAUUGGCAUAUAAGGAGACGAAAUCAAUGGUUCGAAUCUGCAGACAAAAUGCUUUAACGGAUCAAGUUACUUAAAGAAAAGAAGAAAAAGCAACUCUAGCUAAACGAUAACAGGUCAGAUUUUCCAUUUUCAAUACAUGAAAUGGUUUAUAUUACUUAAAUGUGAGCAAUAUGAAGGUUCCAUUAUGCUGAUAGAGAGCCGAAAAUAGAAACACAGCGAACUCCAGACAACACAGAAAAGGAUACGGAAGGUUUAGGAAUCCAGGAAGAGAGAAGCAAUUCAUAAGAUCAAAUGUAUUAAACCUAUAAAGCCAAAAAAGGGUUUCUAGAAAUCCAAUAAAUACCAGACCCCAUCAGCAUCGCUGAGUGUCAAAAUCAAUAAGCAUGCAGAAACAGAAUCAUAUAGCGAGGCAUCUUUGAACUGACAGAACGAUAUAAGGGAAAAUAAGUAAUAAUCCAGACCAAUCAAAACCUACUUUUAUCAUGUCCCUUAAUAGCAGCCCUAAUAAUUAGAAAAGCAAAAUAAUGAUUCUCUGCAUCCCACUGCGUCAGAUUUCCCCUCUAUUUAAAAUCUUGAUAACUUCUCACGCAAAAUCGAGAAGAAUAUUGGCAGAAUUGAAGAACAAGAACCCAGAAAAAAAUGACAAGAGAUAUUGAAAGUGGAGAAUUUGCGUACCUUUGCUUAAGAUAAGAAAUACUGUGGCAAUUGGUAGAAUACCCAGAAGCGAAUCUCCUAAGUAGGAAGCUAUAACUCGGGUCAAACCAAAAUGAGCAAAACUUUUCUCCUCUCCUCAGUUACAGAUUCACUGUAACAAAUCCUGACGUAGAUACGUAGAAGAAAUGAAUAAGAGGAACAGAGCCAGCGGAGUGGAAGA